rnacentral:rRNA from 1 species
CCUACGGGAGGCAGCAGUGAGGAAUCUUCCACAAUGGGCGAAAGCCUGAUGGAGCAACGCCGCGUGAAGGAUGAAGGCCUUCGGGUUGUAAACUUCUUUUAUGAGUGAAGAAUAUGACGGUAACUCAUGAAUAAGCACCGGCUAACUACGUGCCAGCAGCCGCGGUCAUACGUAGGGUGCAAGCAUUAUCCGGAGUGACUGGGCGUAAAGAGUUGCGUAGGCGGUUUAAUAAGUGAAUAGUGAAACCUGGUGGCUCAACCAUACAGACUAUUAUUCAAACUGUUAAACUCGAGAGUGGUAGAGGUAACUGGAAUUUCUAGUGUAGGAGUGAAAUCCGUAGAUAUUAGAAGGAACACCAAUGGCGUAGGCAGGUUACUGGACCAUUUCUGACGCUAAGGCACGAAAGCGUGGGGAGCGAACUGGAUUAGAUACCCAGGUAGUCCACGCCGUAAACGAUGGAUACUAGCUGUUGGAGGUAUCGACCCCUUCAGUAGCGAAGCUAACGCGUUAAGUAUCCCGCCUGUGGAGUACGGCCGCAAGGCUAAAACAUAAAGGAAUUGACGGGGACCCGCACAAGCGGUGGAUCAUGUUCUUUAAUUCGAUGAUAAACGAAGAACCUUACCAGGGUUUGACAUCCCGAGAAGAUUUACGAAAGUAGAUUGUGCCUUUUGGAACUCGGUGACAGAUGAUGCAUGGCCGUCGUCAGCUCGUGUCGUGAGAUGUUUGGUUAAGUCCAUCAACGAGCGCAACCCUU